AUUGAACGCUGGCGGCAGGCCUAACACAUGCAAGUCGAGCGAGCGGCGGACGGUUGAGUAAUGUAUGGGGACUGCCCGAUAGCGGGGGAUAACUACUGGAAACGGUAGCUAAUACCGCAUACUAUCGGAUAACCCAUAUGGGAUGAGCUAGUAGGUGAGGUAAUGGCUCACCUAGGAGACGAUCCCUAGCUGGUCUGAGAGGAUGAUCAGCCACACUGGGAAGGAGACACGGCCCAGACUCCUACGGAGGCAGCAGUGGGGAAUAUGGCACAAUGGGCGCAAGCCUGAUGCAGCCAUGCCGCGUGUAUGAAGAAGGCCCUAGGGUUGUAAAGUACUGUCAGUCGGGAGGCGUUACCGACAGAAGAAGCACCGGCUAACUCCGUGCCAGCAGCCGUGGUAAUAC
rnacentral:rRNA from 1 species